rnacentral:tRNA from 1 species
GUUCCUGUAGUUAAAGUUCAAUAACGGUGGCUUUUCAGGCCACAAGUCUCGGAGAGAAGCCGGGUAGGAAUUU